rnacentral:rRNA from 1 species
CAGUCGCCACGGGAAUACGGAGGGCGCGAGCGUUACCCGGAUUUACUGGGCGUAAAGGGCGUGUAGGCGGCCUGGGGCGUCCCAUGUGAAAGGCCACGGCUCAACCGUGGAGGAGCGUGGGAUACGCUCAGGCUAGAGGGUGGGAGAGGGUGGUGGAAUUCCCGGAGUAGCGGUGAAAUGCGCAGAUACCGGGAGGAACGCCGAUGGCGAGGGCAGCCACCUGGUCCACUUCUGACGCUGAGGCGCGAAAGCGUGGGGAGCAAACCGGAUUAGAUACCCCGGUAGUCCCUGUCUCUUAUAC